GGAUAGCUCCAUUGGUAAAGCUUGUGACUCUUAGUCUGAGGGUCAUGGGUUUGAGCCCCAUGUUGAGCA